AGAGUUUGAUCCUGGCUCAGGAUGAACGCUAGCUACAGGCUUAACACAUGCAAGUCGAGGGGCAGCAUUUUAGUUUGCUUGCAAACUGAAGAUGGCGACCGGCGCACGGGUGAGUAACACGUAUCCAACCUGCCGAUAACUCGGGGAUAGCCUUUCGAAAGAAAGAUUAAUAUCCGAUAGUAUAUUAAAACCGCAUGGUUUUACUAUUAAAGAAUUUCGGUUAUCGAUGGGGAUGCGUUCCAUUAGUUUGUUGGCGGGGUAACGGCCCACCAAGACUACGAUGGAUAGGGGUUCUGAGAGGAAGGUCCCCCACAUUGGAACUGAGACACGGUCCAAACUCCUACGGGAGGCAGCAGUGAGGAAUAUUGGUCAAUGGACGAGAGUCUGAACCAGCCAAGUAGCGUGAAGGAUGACUGCCCUAUGGGUUGUAAACUUCUUUUAUAUGGGAAUAAAGUUUUCCACGUGUGGAAUUUUGUAUGUACCAUAUGAAUAAGGAUCGGCUAACUCCGUGCCAGCAGCCGCGGUAAUACGGAGGAUCCGAGCGUUAUCCGGAUUUAUUGGGUUUAAAGGGAGCGUAGGUGGAUUGUUAAGUCAGUUGUGAAAGUUUGCGGCUCAACCGUAAAAUUGCAGUUGAAACUGGCAGUCUUGAGUACAGUAGAGGUGGGCGGAAUUCGUGGUGUAGCGGUGAAAUGCUUAGAUAUCACGAAGAACUCCGAUUGCGAAGGCAGCUCACUAGACUGCAACUGACACUGAUGCUCGAAAGUGUGGGUAUCAAACAGGAUUAGAUACCCUGGUAGUCCACACAGUAAACGAUGAAUACUCGCUGUUUGCGAUAUACAGUAAGCGGCCAAGCGAAAGCAUUAAGUAUUCCACCUGGGGAGUACGCCGGCAACGGUGAAACUCAAAGGAAUUGACGGGGGCCCGCACAAGCGGAGGAACAUGUGGUUUAAUUCGAUGAUACGCGAGGAACCUUACCCGGGCUUAAAUUGCAUUUGAAUAAUCUGGAAACAGGUUAGCCGCAAGGCAAAUGUGAAGGUGCUGCAUGGUUGUCGUCAGCUCGUGCCGUGAGGUGUCGGCUUAAGUGCCAUAACGAGCGCAACCCUUAUCUUUAGUUACUAACAGGUCAUGCUGAGGACUCUAGAGAGACUGCCGUCGUAAGAUGUGAGGAAGGUGGGGAUGACGUCAAAUCAGCACGGCCCUUACGUCCGGGGCUACACACGUGUUACAAUGGGGGGUACAGAAGGCAGCUACCUGGCGACAGGAUGCUAAUCCCAAAAACCUCUCUCAGUUCGGAUCGAAGUCUGCAACCCGACUUCGUGAAGCUGGAUUCGCUAGUAAUCGCGCAUCAGCCAUGGCGCGGUGAAUACGUUCCCGGGCCUUGUACACACCGCCCGUCAAGCCAUGAAAGCCGGGGGUACCUGAAGUACGUAACCGCAAGGAGCGUCCUAGGGUAAAACUGGUAAUUGGGGCUAAGUCGUAACAAGGUAGCCG
rnacentral:rRNA from 1 species